rnacentral:tRNA from 1 species
UGGGAUGCUCCAGUGAUAAUGGUCGGGAUAGCUCAGCUGGUACAUAAUAGGACUGAAAAUC